UUCUUUAAGAACUAAUUUAAAGUAAUACCUGCUCAAUGAACUUUAAAUAGCCGCAGUAAACCUGUGCUAAGGUAGCAUAAUCACUUGCUUUAUAAUUAAAAGAUAGCAUGAAUGGUCAAACGACAAAGCCCUAUUUAUUUUUCUUAAACUAAAUUAACACUAAAGUAAAAAGGCUUCAAUACCAAAAUAAGACGACAAGACCCUACUAAACUUAUCAUUUAGUUGGGGCAACACUUUAAUAACACUUUAAAACAACCCAAACACCUAACCUAAUUAAACUUAGAAUCAGAACAGUUACUAUAGGGAUAACAGCGCUAUUCCUUUUAAGAGCUCGCAUCUAAAAAGGAGAUUACGACCUCGAUGUUGAAUUAAUUCACCUAAAUGACGCAAAAGUCAUUAAAAGAUGGUCUGUUCGA
rnacentral:rRNA from 1 species